rnacentral:rRNA from 1 species
UACGUAGGGAGCAAGCGUUGUUCGGAUUUACUGGGCGUAAAGGGCGCGUAGGCGGCAAAUUAAGUCAGCUGUGAAAUCUCCGAGCUUAACUCGGAACGGUCAGCUGAUACUGAUCUGCUAGAGUGCGGAAGGGGCAAUCGGAAUUCUUGGUGUAGCGGUGAAAUGCGUAGAUAUCAAGAGGAACACCUGAGGUGAAGACGGGUUGCUGGGCCGACACUGACGCUGAGUGCGCGAAAGCCAGGGGAGCAAACAGG